ACUCAAAGGAAUAGACGGGGGCCCGCACAAGCGGUGGAGCAUGUGGUUCAAUUCGACGCAACGCGAAGAACCUUACCUGGGCUCGAACGGCUUACGACAUCCCUGGAAACAGGGCUUUCCCCUUAAAAGGACGUGAGUCGAGGUGCUGCAUGGCUGUCGUCAGCUCGUGUCGUGAGAUGUUGGGUUAAGUCCCGCAACGAGCGCAACCCUUGUCCUGUGUUACCAUGCCGAAAGGCGGCACUCGCAGGAGACCGCCAGCGAUAAGCUGGAGGAAGGUGGGGAUGACGUCAAGUCCUCAUGGCCUUUAUGUCCAGGGCUACACACGUGCUACAAUGGGCGGUACAAAGCGAUGCUAAGCCGCAAGGUGGAGCCAAUCGCAGAAAGCCGCUCUCAGUUCGGAUUGCAGGCUGCAACUCGCCUGCAUGAAGCUGGAAUCGCUAGUAAUGCUAUAUCAGAACGAUAGCGUGAAUACGUUCCCGGGCCUUGCACACACCGCCCGU
rnacentral:rRNA from 1 species